rnacentral:lncRNA from 1 species
GUUACAGAUAAUAGUCAAGAGUGCAGCAACACAGCAAGGUCAACUGGGCAGCUGCACACAGGAAUAAAACAAGAGCAAGUGGUGGCAAAGACAGUUACAUCUUAGCUGUCAUUCUGUUACAAAUAGCACGAGCUACAUCACUGUAUAUAGGGUCAUGUAGAUAGUUCUAGAAUAGAGCUGAUGUCUAUAUAAGUAGGUUUGCUGUGUAUUCAACUUUGAAGUUCUGUUUUUACAUAGCAUCAAUAUAGAGUGUUUUCUUCUUUGAGCUUUGGUCUCUGGUUACUUUAAUGGAGUAACUGUGUUUUGUGAU